AUGCUUGUCUCAAAGACUAAGCCAUGCAUGUCUAAGUAUAAACUAAUUAUACGGUGAAACUGCGAAUGGCUCAUUAAAUCAGUUAUAGUCUACUUGAUCGUAAAUUCUACUUGGAUAACCGUAGGAAAUCUAGGGCUAAUACAUGCUAAAAGCCGCGACUACCUCCGGGUUGGAAGCGGUGAAUUUAUUAGAUUAAAACCAAUGGCGGGGGCAACCUCGUCAACCCUAGGCGAUUCAUGAUAACGCAUCUGAUCGGCGGCUAGUCCGCCGACGAUACAUACGAAUUUCUGCCCUAUCAACUUUCGAUGGUUGGAUAGAGGCCAACCAUGGUCGCAACGGGUAACGGGA
rnacentral:rRNA from 1 species